GACAGAGGGUGCAAACGUUGUUCGGAAUUACUGGGCGUAAAGCGUGUGUAGGCGGUUUGGUAAGUCGGGCGUGAAAGCCCCGGGCUCAACCCGGGAAGUGCACUCGAUACUGUCAGACUUGAGUCUCGGAGAGGUGGGUAGAAUUCUCGGUGUAGAGGUGAAAUUCGUAGAGAUCGAGAGGAAUACCGGCGGCGAAGGCGGCCCACUGGACGAAGACUGACGCUGAGACACGAAAGCAUGGGGAGCAAACAGG
rnacentral:rRNA from 1 species